rnacentral:rRNA from 1 species
GUUUGAUCAUGGCUCAGAUUGAACGCUGGCGGCAGGCUUAACACAUGCAAGUCGAGCGGUAACAGGAAGAAGCUUGCUUCUUUGCUGACGAGCGGCGGACGGGUGAGUAAUGCCUAGGAAUCUGCCUGGUAGUGGGGGAUAACUUGCCGAAAGGUAAGCUAAUACCGCAUACGUCCUACGGGAGAAAGCAGGGGGAGCCUUCGGGGUCCUUGCGCUAUUAGAUGAGCCUAGGUCGGAUUAGCUAGUUGGUAGGGUAAAGGCCUACCAAGGCGACGAUCCGUAGCUGGUCUGAGAGGAUGAUCAGCCACACCGGGACUGAGACACGGCCCGGACUCCUACGGGAGGCAGCAGUGGGGAAUAUUGGACAAUGGGGGGGAACCUGGAUCCAGCCAUGCCGCGUGUGUG